UCUUUGAGGUUCAAUAUAUGAGUCACAAAGACUUUAUUAAACGGAAGAGACAGCGUUGAGGAGGGGUGGAAGCCUUUGUCUUUCUGGCUUCAUGUUUUCCACUGUGGAAGAAGAGGGGCCAGCCAUCAAGUGGUGAUCCCUGGAAUUGCAAGACGCUGCCAAGGAGGAAAACUGCAAUGGGAAGCGACCCAUGUAACUGGACUCUAGAGCUUCAAACCCUAAAUGAAGGAGGUGGCCCAGGAGCCGUCUAAACUGACCCAUGUGGACAAACAGUUAUAAUUUGGCUUCGCGCAUCCUUCACUGGGCUUCUGUGAGCCACUUUGGAGUGACGGUGGAGGGGGCACAAAGACAUGUGCGUGUCAACAGGUUUGCACUAAAUUGCUCGGGCUUUUCUCAAACUUGUGAUUCACCUGCCUCCGCCUGCUGAGUAGCUGGGAUUACAGGUGCAUACAUCCUCUCCAUCUCAUGAGGCAGCAGGCUCUGAACUGAGGAUCAACAGAUCUUCUCCUGGAGAUUAUAUGAUGGAUCUUGGUGGAUUCAAAUCAGGCCAGUGAUCUUUCCAGGAAAGAAUCUAUUUCUUCAUUUUUCCCAGCACCUAGAGGCUGCCCACAUUCCUCAACCCAUCACUCCAUUUUCAAAGCCAACCGCAGUGGGUCCAGCCAACCAUGCCUCCAUCUCUUUGGUUCUCUCUCUUCAAUCCUUUUUUACUCUUAACGACUCUUCUGAUUCUACUGAGCCUGUUCAGAUAAUCCAGGAUGAGCUGCCUUUCUCAAGGUCAUGUAACAAACAACCUGAACUGCAUCUGCAACCUUAUUUCUCCUUUACCAAGGUACAUAGCACAUUGCAGGUUUCAUGGAUGAGGACAGAGACUCACCACACCUGAAAAUUCUGCCGCCAUAUCAGAAUCAUAGACAGAGUGACAUUCAAAAAGUGUUCCAAAGUGGAUCUCAGUAUUUGAGCCUCCUGUUUGCUUUACAGUCUAGUUGGAAGUAUUUUAUUUUACAUGACGCUUCAGGUACCAAGCAUAGUACUAUGUGUGUAGGCUUUCAGCAUAUGUCUGUAGAAGAAAGAAAAGACCUCAUGCUUCUCCUACCUUAAUAUUUAUACCCAACCCACCAUCAUGCUCAAUAAUGAGAGAUACAUGGUGGUGUUUCUAGUUGGACAAUCCCAUGAUAAAUUUCUGCUUGAUUCUAAAUGCAGCCAACUCUGCUCUGGCAUUAGAAUGACAGGCCACUCAUUCUCCCCCAGCACACAGAAGCCUGCAUCUAAUUUUGCAAGAGCUUGCAAGUAAUAUGUCCUCUAACUUGAAUUUUAUUUGCCAGUGGCCACCACAAAAACAAAUUACUUUUGGUAGGGUGUUUUUCAUUCGGCUUGUAUAUUGGGUUGUUUUUCUGAGUUCGGCGGGGGUGGAGGGGACACUUACUUUAUAAAAAAAAAUCAUGCUUCUAAUCCUUAAAAAGACUAAAAUAGUUUCAUCCUUUCAUAACCUGUCAUCACGCAUGUUUUUCUAAAAUUAAACACAUAUGGCUCAAGCCAGAGUUACAUUAUGCACCAUAUUAUGUAAUUAUCUUUUCAAUUUAUUACUCCUCAAAAUAGAAAAAGAUUAGUCCAUGUUUCUUAAGUCUGAGUAAACAUAUGGCCCGAGGAUUGUAAAUGACAUCCUAUCUUUAAAAGAAGUUCCAAGACUAAACAACAUACAAUACUGCCUUUGGAAAGGCCAUAUGUGGUAUCAGGGUUGUGAGAUAUAGAACUGUGUAUGUGUGUAUGUCUCGUCUGUAUGUGUGUGUGAGUGUGUGUGUGUGUAUACUUUUUUUUUUUUUUGCUUUCUGGCCAUGUCUUUGAUGCUGUGAAAUAUUCCUGCUAGCAGAUCAUAAACAGCACAAAAAUAAAAACCAAAAAACAAAAAAAAUCUGCAUUUCAACGCUUCCUAUUAGCCUUGCGCACUUGGGUCCCGUUUAAUCCGUAAGAAAACCUCUCCCAUAAUGUGGGUGUCUGAAAAAGAAUUAUCUGUAUCUUCAAGACUCAGGGCCUUUGUGCUACUCCCCCAGCAACCUGUGGACAUUCACGCUUCAUGUUACCUGAUGAUUUCAGACCUCCUUUGAGACCCUCUGCUGGAUCACUGCUCCUUUUCUUGCUCACUGGGGAAAAAGAGCAGUCAAGUGGGGAACCGUGUGGCUGCCAAGGCCUCCCUUCCCUACAACUACCUACAUUAACCAGGAUCCUGGAGGCCCCUAGCAGUGCAGAGCGCAGUUAUGGGUCUGACAACAUUCCCAUUAUUGGAACCUUUCUUCAGAGGGGGUUACGACUAAGGCUUUUAAUUUGCAACAGGCGGAAAUUUUUGCAUAAGGCUGCCAAGCAUAAAGGAAAUAUUUCGGAGGCAAUUCAAACUCAAAUUAGGUUAAUUGUUUAUUCCACAUUGAGGGAUACCAGAAAUGAAAUGCUAUGAGUGGCCUUCUGAUACCUUUAUGCUCCCUAGAAUAAGAAAGGAUAGUUUUUAAAAAUGUGUUUUAAAAGUGAGCAAGUUGAAAACCAGCUGAUCAGGUUUGCAGCAUGGGACUGUUACCAUGAGUAAUAUUCACAAGGUUUUCAAUAAUACAUUGUAUUAUGCAGGUCCAGCAAGAAACUGCACAUCUCAGGAGACUUUCUCAAGAAAAUAUAAUUUCCAGGGGCUGGGGAUUUAGCUCAGCGACAUAAGCGCCUGCCUUGCAUGCAGGCAGUUGUGAAUUCGAUCCCCGGUACCGAUAAAAAAGAAAAAGACCAAAAAAAAAAAAAAAAAAAAAAAAGAAAGAAAAUAUAAUUUCCAAUGGGUCAAUACCAACAAUUUGCAAUGCUGUUUCAAAGCAAAAUUUAAGAGUGGAGCAUCUGAUAACAUUUUACUGACUAAAGUGGAACCUUUCCAAUGAGAUACGAAAGCAAUUCAAGUUGAUACUUAGAGAUCAUAAAGGCAAUGUUCCUACCAGUUCUAAGUCAGUAACCAGAGCUGUGGAGACCAUACGGUCACCCAUCCUAAGCAUUCCACAGGAGACACCUACAACCUGCUUUCUGCUCCCUCGGAUGAGACUGCAGUUCGACAGAAAACAACUGCUAAGCAGGCUACAAAAAGACAGAAUACAGGCAGAACUGAUGAACACAUCUUUGGGAUGGCAUCUUAUAAACCUUUAUAGAGUCUCUGGAACCAGAAAUGCAAGUUUAGGUUAUCUGGCACUUCUAUCUCAAUAUUCUCCAGGGAAAUCUGUGGCACUCUGAUCCGGAAGGAAUUGGUAAUUGCAGAUUAUUACAAAUGACAGGAGUUUCUGUUUGAUGAGCAGGCUCUCACCACAGGAUCUCUAUACUUGUCAUUCCCUUCCAGAAUGUUCUUCCCUCAAAUGCCUCAUGGACCACUCAGAUUCGUCUCGUUUUUCCUUACUAUUCCUAAGUAAAAGUAGUAUAUUCCCUGUAAUCUACAUUUUUUUACCCAGAUCUUUUCUCCUCAUCACUUACUCUGAUGAGACCCAUCAUAUAUAGUGCUUGAUUUCUGUCUCUCCUGUUAGGAUGUAAACACCACGAGAGCAGGCAGUGGUGCUCUCCACUGCUCUGUGCCCAGUUGUACAAAGUAGGACUGGGAUGUAAGCAGCACCGAGUGAACAAGCAAUAAGGUGAUUUAAUAAGAGAAUGAAUGUGUUACUCCUCAACCUCUGCAUUCUUCACAGCACGCAAGAAGCUGAAGCAGGGUGAACUGUGCAGAACUCUGUGACUACUGUAAGGCUCUCUGAUCUUUCUAAUGAAAAGAAGCUUGAAUUCAAGUUACUCACCUUGGGGAAUGAAUGAACAUCUCAGGCUGUUCUAAAGUCAACAGUCAAAAACUUUAAAACAAAACAAAACGUGAAAACCAGAAACAAACCAAAACCCCUUUAAACUAAAAGCAAUCCAGCCCAAGAGUCAGGCGUUCUAACUCAGGUCCGACUGCACUAACUCAUGACUCAGGUUCCAUCUCCAAAAUCCGCGUGGCCAGGUAAGCUUUUUCACUCCCAUCUGUUAUCUCAGCACCUCCACCUGUCAAAUAUGGUAAACAACAGAACUUCUCACUUGGGGUUCUGAGAGCCACACAAUAAGGUACCUAAAAACAGCACGGUGUUUGGCACUAAAGAAUACUCACUAGAGUGUGCUUAAAAUUUACAUGCCAUUUCAGAAAUGUGAAUAAUUAAGAAACUAAAAAGGCAGCUUUGGAAUACUGUUGAUAGUAAGACAGUUCUUGCUAAAUUAACUACCCACAAUUUUUCAAAAAGGGAAUAGGUAUCUUUCUUUGUAUUUGUGUGGAUUAUGUACAGAUCCCCCCACCCAAGCUACAGAUAUCUGAAUCUAUAAAUGCUCAAGUCUCAUAUAAAGUGGAAUAUUCACAUAUUACUCACACACAUCCUCCUGCACACUUUAAAUCACUUCUAGAUGAUUUCUCAUAUCUACUACAAUGUAAAUGUUGUAUCAACAAUUUUUAUACUGUACUGUUUAAGGAAUAACAACCAGAGAAAAGCUCUGUAUGUAUUCAGUACCCUCACAAUUUUCUCCAAGCAGUUGAAUACUUUUUGAUAUACGGUUUGUUGGAUCUAAAGAUAUGGAACCCAUGCAUAUACAGCGCUGACUGUAAAAAGUUUGUUUUCACAGGUGAGCUACUUACAGCAUUUAUAGAUUUCAGAUGAUAUAUUAUUUUGUUUUCAAAAUUUUUGCAACCCAAGAAAUAACGAUAUGUUUCAUUAUUCCUGAUGCAACUUUAAUUACUCACAAGAGGUAGUGACUGAUUCCCACACCAAAAGAUGCAUCCUGUGCUUAUGCAAUAAACCGGGCAUAUAGGAGGUUUUAAAUUUGCCCAUGCACAUCUAGUCCAUGUUUCAUGUGCCUUCCAAAGGAAUUAUGAAACAAAUGCCAAACACUACUUAAUACAUUUUUAAAAUUUUUUUUCCCAAACACAGAUUUUGUGUUUCUGAUAUAUCUGAGGCAUGAAAGACUCAGGAUUUCAAC